GAAGAUGAAGCUCAGUGGUGGGGCACAUGCUUUGCAUGUAUUAGGUUUAGGGUUCAAUCCUCUGCAUUUCUA